AAAAAAAAAAACUCUGAAUUUUCAGGUACUAAACAAAGAGAGAUUUUGUGUCUGUCCUCCACCGAGUGGGAAGGGAGGAAGAUAUCUUCGAGCCAGGAGUUCAAAGAAAGAGCCGAGGAAAGACUUGCUGUUACUUGAAAGAGCAUGAAUAAAGAACAAGCCGAUGCAUUUCCCACAAUUUCCAAGCAUAAGCAUACAAGUGAUCUGGAAAGUUUUCAUGACUGGAGUCAACUCAGGGGCCCACAGUGGGAAACAUAUGAGACCCAACCACUGGGUUCAGAAAGUCAAUAUUCUAUUCCAGGACUGCCCCCAAACUAUCUACAUAAUUCCAUCUACUUCCUCUGCUCACUAUAUUAGGAAUCACUUAAAAUGUACCUGCAGAUUAAGCCCCAUGGAACACCCCAGAAACCAGCUGUUUUUCACAGGAGGCAAUGAAAACAGGUAAGGAAAAUCUUCUACCCAAUUGACUGUAGAAUUUGUUUUAGGAAAGAAACUACCCCUAUUUAGGAAAAUGUCUUGGAAAGUUAGGUGGAAGAGGAGGGCAAGCGCUGGGACUGGGGUCGGCAGAGAAGAGUUAACAAAGAAGCAGCUAAAUUUCAUUGCUUAAAAAAAGGGGGGGGAAGUUAGGGGUGUGGCUCAGUGGUAGAGUACUUGCCUAGCAUGUGCAGAGACCUAAGUUUGAUACCCCAGCACCACCGAAAAGUGGGGGAUGAAGUGGAGAAAGUGAAGAGGAAGUAGAUGAGGAAGAGAAGCAAGGAGAAAGUUAGGCAUCAUGGUGGGAGUGUGGAGUCUGGAAGUUGGCAGAAAUGACUAAGAGGGUCUUUAUUCACUAUCUAGUGUGAUCUGUAGAUCCCACCAGCAAAGCUCUACAAUAUACCACUGCUGUGAGUGCUUGAGGAGGAAACCAAGCAGAAGAAGCUAGUUUCCACAAUUAGGUCCUCAGGAGAUAGAGAACUCAGCCAAAGUCAGGAAUCAGACCAGGGAUGACCAGGAAAACUGUCACUCAGGCAGUUUUGCAUAAAUCUGAGAGGGCAUUGUAUUUCCAUCCUCCCACCCCCACCCCAUGGGUCUCAAGCCAAUCUUAGCAUUCUCUAUGAGGCAGGGUGAGCCUAGCUGAGUUCUGAGUUACAGAAAGAUCAGAUCAGUCACUCGCUGAUUCAGCACUUGCAUUGUCUUAGUUCUUUUCCUGAAUUGAUUUAACACAGUUUCCACAAAACUUGAGUUUAUAGUGGUUUGGUUCCCGCCCCCUCUUGGACCAAGUUCUUGGCUUUAUAUCUAAAUCCUCAGUGGUUGGCCUCCUGCCCUGUAUUGGGUUGGGUGAGGUAGGGUCACCCUGGCAAUGGGAAGAGGUGCCAGGAAGACCCACUGCCUUCAUGUUGAAGACUUUAGGGAGCAGCUUUGUUUUAUGGUCACCCAGUCAAACUGGUUUAGUUAGUGAGGAUAGGAUCUGAAUUCUUAUCUCUCCCAACCCUGAGGAAUUUAUAGCCAGAGGCCCAAUGCUUCCAGGAGGACACCAAGGGAUGAGGACAUGUCAUGAACAUGAAGAAAUGUUUGGAUAAUUCAUCAGAAGCCAUGCAUAGAUGCACUGUACAGAUGCACUGCUGGGAACAUAUAUAAUUCUCUUUCUUUUAAUUCAAGUCUAACAAUUCCACCCUUCUUACCUGAGGCCGGCUCAUGCUGAAACAUAAAAUAAUCUUGCAGCCACACUGCUGGGCAGAGGCCUCUCAUUGCUGACCUGACCAUGGGCAGCACCUAGCCUAAGACACCACUUGGCACCCCCUCCAUAUGGGCUAAGAAAUCCCUUUUGCUAGAGGUCCAGACAGAUUCUACAUCCUAGGGUUAUUUAGGGAAAAGGGCAUAUUUACUCUUCUGGCUCCACAUUAUCACAUCCAAAAUCUUAUUCUUCUACUCUUUCUUGUGGCUAUUGUUGGCCAAAGUUAUUGGUAGCCCCCACCUCCCUCUACCUCACUAGCCUUUCCUGUGGCUGCACCCUGAAUGUGAUCAUAAACCCAGAACUAUUUCAACUCUGCCAACUUGAAAACUCUAAUAUUUCACUAAAACCAUCACCAGUUCAUUUGCCAGUUCUCGCUUUUAAAGAAAACAAAAACAACUGUUCUUUGACCUCAUUGGGAGUGCUAAUCUAUAGGUCCUUCUAUUUGAUCCUAAUCCAUCUCCCAUCUGCCUUCAUUGUCUCAACUACUUAGACCCUAUGUGCCAUCCACUAAGCUCCAUUUUACUACAUUUAUUGGUCCAUUCAAAGACGGAAACAGCUGAGAAUAUGCAAGUUUAUCUACAAAUGAAACACUAAAAACGAUUGACUAUGUUCUUUAUUAAAAAUAGUAAUAAAUCGGGGCGGUGGUGCAUACCUGUAAUCCCAGUGACUCAGGAGGCUGAGGCUAAAGGAUCUCAAGUUCAAGGCCAACCUCGGCAACUUAGCCAAGUCCUAAGCAAUUUAGCAAGGUCCAAAGCAACUUAGUGAGACCCUGUCUUAAAAUAAAAUAUAAAAAAGGAUAGCUCAGUGGUAAAAGCACUCCUGAGUUCAAUCCCCAGUUACCAAAAUAUAAAUAAAUAAAUACUAAUAAAAUAACAUUAUUACUAAUGUUGACAUUAUCUAGAUAAUCUUAAGACUUUAUACCAGGCUCUGGUAAUAUUUAAUAAUAAUAAAUCUGAACAAAACCCCAUGAGAUGCCUAUAGGUAAAUUCAGCUUCAAUUGGCUACAGCCAAAAUCACCUCUCAUUUAAAUUUUGAGCAGUAUUGGGCCAGUGGAAUUUAGAAGUUCCUAUCCAGGAACAAUUAAAAACUUCAAUAUCCAACAAAUAUUUCUCCUUUCAACAAUGUCCUCAUGCCUUGUCUUUUUGAAAAAUCAUCAUAGUGUCUUCCAAGAUUGUCUCCUUUUCAAUUUAACUAUGCAGUCACCCUUUAUCACUUUUCUUCUUUUAUCAUAAUGUAGAAACACAUAUUAAUGUCAAACUAUAAAAAAGUCCCUUAUAUCCAAUAUUCUCACCAAAAUGUACCUUCAAAUACUAACCUUCCAAUCAACUCUGCAGGAAGCUUUGGCCAUGAAUACCUAGCCUUGCUCUUCAGAUGGUAGUUACCGUUUCCUCUUCCUUCCCCACCGUGAGCCAUGGUUCAGAGUUGAGAUCCAGAAUCUUGCAAGAAGAUAACUAUCAGGAUUUGUAUUCAGCAAGAGUUAAGAAAAUGGUUGCUAAGAGACUGUAAAAAGGAAUAGGAAUGUAAGGCAAAAAAUUUCCAGAGAUAGGGGAAAUGAUGAGUCCCGAAGGGGAUCAAUAAUAGAAGACAAAAAUCUGAGCCUAAUGCAGUAUAUUCAGCCCAGUUUCAGGCUAGGGAUUGAGGGGUCACAGAAAGCAACUACUCAAAGGGGUACAGAGUGAGGGAGCACUGGGUAGAAGAGGUACACUGAGGCACAGGGAGAAUGGGUGCCUUGGGCCCAGCCUCAGGAAAUGGGGCUGCCUUUGUCAAGGUGUGAAGCAGGCCUCACUAUUGGGUGGGGUCAAGGCUUUUCACUCUUACAUACAUAUCACCUGGGAUGUUAGCAAUCUGGGCACUAGAAAGCUUGAGGGGGAUUUGCUACUCCCUGUUGAUGCUACCUCCACCUGCAGCCUUAAAAGCAGGUCCAACUAAUUUGAGGAUCUGAAACUAUUGAUCUGCCAGUCUCUCCUUGAAAGGGGUGGCAUUCCUCAGGACAGGAGUAAUGGUACAUUGGGGUAAAGGCUAGGAGUACUUGAUUCAUUCAUCAGUCAUUUACUGAAAACCUUUGUGCUAAAUGCAGAGGUGGGUGCUGAGGAAACAAAGAUAUAUAUGAGCAGGAUAAAAAUAUUAACAUAUGCAUAUUAACAGCCUUCUCCUCCCCUUAUAUCAAUACUCUCAGACUUUUCAAGGAGGCUUAUCUGUGUACUCUGGAGCUCUGUUGUGAUGAUCAAUAAAAUGAGUGAAAAAGAAUUUUGAAAGAAGUCAACAGAGACCAUAUAAUAAAGAACUGACCAGAGUUGAGAAGACAGUGGGGACCAGAGAUCUGGAGGAGAUAGGAAGAUGAGGAAAGGAGAGAAGAUAAAGAGAAAAAUUGAAUGAGGCCAGAGUAGGGUGACAGAAUAUUGGAACAGGUGGGUUAACAAAUGGACUUUGCAGACAGAUCAGUGGGAAAGGCUAUAACAGUACUAACUGUGUGUGUGUGUGUGUGUGUGUGUGUGUACAUUGUCGUCCUGCCGGUCCUCUCCUGGAGACUUUGUGAACUUCUCUGCAGUGGAUUAUGCAUUAUUUUUGGAAACAAUGACAAAACUGACCACAAGGUGGCCCAUCAUUUGGGGGAUUACAAAGUAAGACAUGAUCCCUAUGCUCCAGGUGCCCCAAAUCACAUAGGGCAAACAGACAUUUAACAUUAAAUAAAAACAUAAAAUAUUGCAAUUGCUACGUCAGAUGUCUGUUUAGGAGGUGGCAAAUGAAGGAGAGGUCACUGAAUUUACAUCUAAUUCAUAGAACAGCCAGUGUUCUCUCCUCAGUGAGACUAGUUUACAAUGGGGGUUUUCUGGCUCCCAAACUAAUUACCAACAGCAAUGUAUACCUCAGCCCUACAGAGGAAGAGACAGAAAAUCUAAAUUCCCUCCUUGAACUGAUCAAAAUUUUCCCACCUCUAAUUCCAAUGUGGGUGUUAGGCAGCAGCCCACCUGGCUAUUCCAGCCUCCUUUUCCUUUUGGACUGAGUUUCCCACGCAGGGCUUAUCUGCUUUUCUACCCCAACAUCACCCAAACAAAGGAAAAUGUGUGUAGACUGAGGGUGUCAGUAUAAGAGAACUCUGUACCAAAUCAUGUAGGCAUGGAAAGGGAAACGGUGAAUGCUAAAUGAAGCCUGAAAUUAUAUAAGUGAAACACAAAGUCGGCCCCAGAGCGUCUGCAAGAUUAUAGCUGAGGUUUGCAUUGAGAUUGCUACCCCCAGGCAAAGGGAGGACCUAGAGUUUCCAAGCAAGGCUGAAGCAAUCACUUUGCUGGUCUGUGCCAGCCAAGUGACUCACUCCCAAACCUGUUUACUAUGAAACAGCAUUAGGAGACUGGAUAUAGCCUCAGGGAGAUCAGCUGCUAACCAGCUCAGAUUAUAGCUGCAAUCCCUCAAAUGCAGCCACUUACAACAAUUCUCCACAUGUCUUCGGAAGCACACAGCACAGUGUACAGGAAAGGGACUGUCCUUGAAGUUUAAAGACCAAAGUCCUGGUUCCCAGGCUACAGUACUUUGUCGUGUGACUUGGGCCAGCUUCCUCUACAAAAUGAGGCUGACAUCCUGUCCAUCAAAUGGGACAGCACCUUUCCUGCCUACCUUCUGGGUAGCUUUGAGGAUCAAGUGAGAAAUAUGAGAAUUGAGAGAGGAAAAUGGUCAAGAGCUAUAUGCCAGGUAUUAUAUGACACACAGGUGUCAUAAAUCUCCUUGUGGACUCUCAUUGGUACUAGAGGGAAUUUCUUCAAAUAGCAGGAAUGAGAAAUCAGCACAACAAGGCUUUUGUUUCAUACUUAAAUAUCAACAACAUUAAAGCACCAAUUUAGCUGUUUACUGUGGACUUUUGUCAUCCCAGGCAGUAGGUUGGAAUGUUUUAAAAGGAAGACUAGAGCUCCCUCUUCAGUGUUAUCUGGGGCUAUCAAUGAGACCAUUUCUGUUAUUUUCCAGUAAGUACUAUAAAGGGCUCCCUGUUUGAGAAGUAUAUACAACUAUUUCUCCCAUCUGCAAUUACAUGGGCAAAAAAAAUGAACAAAAAGAUCUUUUCUUUUCUGUUUUCUUUCUUUCUUUUUCUUCUUUUAGAUACUGGCCUCAAGUACAAAAUUUAGUGAAACACACACACACACACACACACACACCCCUCCAAGACCAAGAUAAGUAACAUUUUAAUGCAAUAUUUAAAAAAAAAAUAAUGCCAAAAAACUCAUGAUGAGCAAAAUAUCAAAAUUUUAAAUAAAAAUUAGUGACAGUGCCAUACUAAGACACACUGAUGCCCGGGGCAAAGGGGAAAAUCAGUAAUAUUGAUCCUGUCUUUAUUUAAAACAUUGGUGUCCUGUUCAUUGUGGAUUUUUGCAUUAAUUUUGAUAUAUCCAAAGUAGCGAUUUUAAUCCUUCUUAAUGGCAAGCGAAAUUAUUGCUUUCCUUAGUAGCAUUAGCCUCUUAGAUUUGGUUAAGUGCUUUCCAUGCGAUGUGGGAGACAAGCAUGGCUCCCCACAGUCAAAGGCCAACUUUGCUUCCUCUGCAGUGUCUCCUUCGGGUGGGUGCAUAUUCAAUGAAGGUCACCUUCUUGGCUUCCAAAUGAAAACUCUUGAGUCCCACAGCUUUUCUGUUCACUAUUAAAUAAGGGAAAAGUCUCACAGUCGUUUUAAAGCAGUCUCAGUUCAGCAAUUAGCAGGCAAAAUCCUUUCGAAAUCAUCCAACUUUGCAACUUCACUUAGUGAUGAUUCUCCCCUGAGCCAGCUCAGGCCUGGAAGCCUCAAGUAGGAAAUGGAGGUAAAGCCUCCUGCUCUCUGUUCUCCCCCACUGUCCUCCUCUUCAAUUCACUACCCACUGUUUUGUUCUCUACCAAAAUGGAAGAUGGUUGGCAGGGCGGAAGGGAAGGGGACAGACCAUUUCUUACCCUGCCUGGUAGCUUCACUUUCCCUGGCCAGGAGGAUAGCUAACAGGGUCACUUCUCUGUGGACAUAUCCAUUGGCUUAUCAGAGCUUCCCUACAGGAACUCUCCCCUCAGAUGCUUGUCCCAUCUGAGUGGUGAGUAUGUAUCUGCUUAUCAUAUAAUUAACUAUACUUUUCUACAUGCUAUAUAUAUUCUAAAAGUUCCUAAUUAAAAAAAAAUUGUGAGAAAAUAAAGUGGAAGAAUCUCAACUCCACACAAAAACAACCUUUGUCCCCUCCUCUCUCUCUCUUUACUACCAACCAUUUCUCCUCUCCUGGCCUUAGUUUUUAUCUCCUCCCUAUACCUAUAAAGAUAAAUGUUUGUCUAGAUUGAUAUAUACUUCCUUGCCCAGUCACAUGCUGGUUUAUUUCUUACACCUUCUGAAUAAGCAGAGCAGUCCUCUUCUGGUUUCUAAUUUCUUUGAGAAUAAAUGUCCCUGGCCAGAGUCCAGUCCACUCCCAGGCCCCUGGGACUUUGUCAAGGGAACUGGAACAUCUCUGCCCUUGACCUCUAGGGUAGAAAUCCACAAGAGUUCCACAAUAAGCAAAGCACUAUGAAGCCAGCAGCAUUGCUAAAGGCAGAAAACACAGCUCUUUCUCACCACCAAGAGUUCCACUGUUCUGCCUGUUUCCAGGCAUGGAAAUGAAGGGAGAAGAAUGUUACAGAAGCUCAAUAGUUGUCCCCAUUUGAAUAAAAUAAUCGCCUUCAUUGUUUAGCUUCAUAGUACCAAUAAUAUAUUGCUUAUAUACUUGAAUGUUUCUCUUUCACAGCAAAGUCUUCAAUUUCAGCAUUAAAUGUGGGUUUCCAUUUUGCCUUCUAGGAUCUAUGGAAGUUGGAACUAGAAAACAAAUGUUCUCACCUUCCAAAUGAUCUGCCUGGAUUCAGAGUGUUUGAAACAAACACUUUUCUGACAUGACAAGCUUCAGGAUCUUAAGGAGGAGAGGACAACUAGCAAGGAAUGGAUCUUGCAAAUAAACCAACAAACACAGAGGGAAAUGGGUGCAGAGUCCAAGCCCUCUGUAACUAGGGCAGGUUUUCAUGGAAAUGACUGGGCCUGGGAAGGCAAAGCAUUAAGCGGGGAAGGAAGAGAAGCACAGAGGGCACAGGAGGAGACAUCAAGGUCUGUACCCACCCCUGCCCCUCAACCCCCAGUCCCCUAAAGCCUGCCCCUGGGAUAAUGGUAGUGGGUGAAACUAAUCAAAAAUUAAAACAUGGAACAAAUGCAGGAUCUCAGAGAACAGAAAUGAGAUUCUAUUAAGCCAAGAACUCAGAUGAAAAAAUAAAAUUGUAUCUUUAUUUUUACUAACCUGGUAACUGAAAAAAUCUAGCAUUUCCUCCAUUUAUUAAUGUGGGCAAUAAACCACAGCCAUGUGAGUAGUAUUGAUGACUGUCACCAAUAGAAUUCACACUUGCAGUGAAUUUUAUGGUGUUGCAAAUGUCUUGAAAUAUUUUUGUUCAUUACUUUGAAAUUAUGGUAGUAAUUAAAUAUAUCACUAGAUCUUGAUUAAUCUGUUAAUAAAGAAACAUAAAU
rnacentral:lncRNA from 1 species